GUCACCUCAUUAACAUAACAAAAGACACCAUGCUCUCUCUCUCCUCACUUAGGGAAUUCCAAGGGUUUGAGGAGCUCUGUGCCAAAGACGGGGUAUGAAGACCAAAUGAGUAUUACUUCUUUUAUCACAACAUCACGAACAUUUUUAAACAAUCUACAUAAGCAAGAUUGAUGGACCAAGAGGACCAAGCAAAAUUUAUGGACCAAAGGGGCUGGUGUGUUUUCCUGUCUGUUCUUCCUCUGUGUAGAGGACGGAGCGUGGCUGUGAGUCAGAGCAAUCCAGGAGGAGGCACUAGGGAGGAAGGAUUUCUCGAUUUUUGGACUUCCUCAAGACCUGUCACAGGCUUGGCAUUUAUUCGGCUCAGGCCACGUCACCCUCCAAGGCUAUUGCCCUGUUUUGGAAAUUCAGCAACUUCUAAACUACAUAAUUUUGCUGCUGGUGCCCCGUCUCACACACCCCUGAGAUACAGGCAUAGGAGCUUCAAAAGAAUCCUCACUUAACACCACCACCAGUACCACCAUUGUAUUUCCCAUUUGCACCACCCCUGGGUUCAGCAUGGGGCCUCCAAGGCAGUGGUGGCUGAUGGAAAACCUCUAUGUGCAGGGAAGCCGGGUGGCUAUCUAGAGCCACUAGCCCUCUGCCCUGGAGGCAGAGCGUCCUGCCCUACUGAGGCUGGGAGGGCCCGCCACUGCUGUCUGGAUGCCUUUCCUCCCCUCUGUGAUGCUGUCAUGGGGCCAGCUGAUUAGUACCUUCCGCUUGGUUGCGUCCCCACAAUCUCUUGAUGCAAGAGCGUGCAGAGGACAGAUUGCAGUGAUGAGUACAUUUCAAAAUUUGGUUUGUUUACUUCCCUCUGCUUCCUAUUUUGUGCCGGCGGGUGGUCUUAUACCACAGGCAAUGCAGACAGCUUCUUCCUUUGGCUGCUCCCUCCCAUAGAGAACAUGAGAAAAACAAGACAUUUUUCUCCAGUCACAAAUUCCACAGGGCCCUCGCAGUUCUGACUCCAGGACCCAAGUACCCAAGAGAUGAUGAUGCCUGCAGUCCUCCAGGUCAGAGGGAUGAAGCAAAUGAGGACCCAGGCUGGGUGUGUACGAUGCCAAAUGUACACUCUGACUUCCAACCUUGAGCAAACUGCAGACCGAGCAGUCCCGUGAAGCCCUGGACGAUCCAGAUGGUAAUGAAGCCUCAUGAAACAUUCCCUACAAAUGAGUGAAGGGCUGCAGGAACCCACCACAAAGUUCAUUUAAUCCACAGAUAUCCUCUGUUUUCAUCAGCCUUGUCUGCUCUGGACAGUUGAGCUAAAACUGCUUCAGCUUAUGGGUAGCAUUCAUCCAACAUGAAGAGUAAUGACCCAUAGAACCCUGGGCUUUAUGGGGAGAAAACAAACUCUUUACUUACUAAAACCACACAAAGAAAAAAAAUGCCCAAGUAUUCCCUAUACUGGAAGGGAUUAGAGGUUAGUUUACUUUGCAAGUAAAAUAGGAUGGAGUAUGCCGUACGGUUCCAUUUCUAUGAAGUUCUAGAACAGACUAAGCUAAUGUGUGGCAGAAAAAAUUUCAUAAAGGUUGUUGCUCUGGGGAGCAGGGGAGAAUUGAGGAGCAAAACAUUAGAGAAUUUUCUGGGGUGAAAGCAACAUGCUACCCUGUAUUGGUAAGGAUUUAAGUCACAGCAAAUACAUGCACUUAGCAAAUGUACACUUAAGAUUUGUGCAUUUUGUUGUAUGUAAAGUUUAUCUCAAAAGAAAUCUGUAAAAAAUCUUCAAAUCUAGUUAAUGACACUCAUGCUGAAUUAUUUACACAGAAUUGUCCUGAAGUGUACAAUGCACCCAAAUUAAGAGAACUUUGAGAAUUUAUUCUGUGG